UAAACUGUUCAACUACUACACUUAACCCUCUGAGGUCGACUAACGCGGAUACGCGUUUUGUGGCAUCUUCUCCUGAUAACACCGAAAAGAACUUAAAUGACACUUUCAGUUUUGAUCUUACAGAUAAGAGCAAUACAU